rnacentral:rRNA from 1 species
UACAGAGGGUGCAAGCGUUGUUCGGAAUUACUGGGCGUAAAGGGCGCGUAGGCGGCUUAGCAAGUCAGAUGUGAAAUCCCUGGGCUUAACUCAGGAAGUGCAUUUGAAACUGCUAGGCUAGAGUGCAGUAGAGGUUGGUGGAAUACCCAGUGUAGAGGUGAAAUUCGUAGAUAUUGGGUAGAACACCGGUGGCGAAGGCGGCCAACUGGGCUGCAACUGACGCUGAGGCGCGAAAGCGUGGGGAUCAAACAGG